rnacentral:rRNA from 1 species
UACAGAGGUCUCAAGCGUUGUUCGGAUUCAUUGGGCGUAAAGGGUGCGUAGGCGGCGCGGUAAGUCGGGUGUGAAAUCUCGGAGCUUAACUCCGAAACUGCAUUCGAUACUGCCGUGCUUGAGGACUGGAGAGGAGACUGGAAUUUACGGUGUAGCGGUGAAAUGCGUAGAUAUCGCAAGAACACCAGUGGCGAAGGCGGCUCACUGGCCGGUACUGACGCUGAGGUGCGAAAGCGUGGGGAGCAAACAGG